rnacentral:rRNA from 1 species
GCUAUCUACAGGCUUAACACAUGCAAGUCGAGGGGCAUCAGGAAGAAAGCUUGCUUUCUUUGCUGGCGACCGGCGCACGGGUGAGUAACACGUAUCCAACCUGCCCUUUACUUGGGGAUAGCCUUUCGAAAGAAAGAUUAAUACCCGAUGGCAUAAUGAUUCCGCAUGGUUUCAUUAUUAAAGGAUUCCGGUAAAGGAUGGGGAUGCGUUCCAUUAGGUUGUUGGUGAGGUAACGGCUCACCAAGCCUUCGAUGGAUAGGGGUUCUGAGAGGAAGGUCCCCCACAUUGGAACUGAGACACGGUCCAAACUCCUACGGGAGGCAGCAGUGAGGAAUAUUGGUCAAUGGGCGCUAGCCUGAACCAGCCAAGUAGCGUGAAGGAUGAAGGCUCUAUGGGUCGUAAACUUCUUUUAUAUAAGAAUAAAGUGCAGUAUGUAUACUGUUUUGUAUGUAUUAUAUGAAUAAGGAUCGGCUAACUCCGUGCCAGCAGCCGCGGUAAUACGGAGGAUCCGAGCGUUAUCCGGAUUUAUUGGGUUUAAAGGGAGCGUAGGUGGACUGGUAAGUCAGUUGUGAAAGUUUGCGGCUCAACCGUAAAAUUGCAGUUGAUACUGUCAGUCUUGAGUACAGUAGAGGUGGGCGGAAUUCGUGGUGUAGCGGUGAAAUGCUUAGAUAUCACGAAGAACUCCGAUUGCGAAGGCAGCUCACUGGACUGCAACUGACACUGAUGCUCGAAAGUGUGGGUAUCAAACAGGAUUAGAUACCCUGGUAGUCCACACAGUAAACGAUGAAUACUCGCUGUUUGCGAUAUACAGUAAGCGGCCAAGCGAAAGCAUUAAGUAUUCCACCUGGGGAGUACGCCGGCAACGGUGAAACUCAAAGGAAUUGACGGGGGCCCGCACAAGCGGAGGAACAUGUGGUUUAAUUCGAUGAUACGCGAGGAGCCUUACCCGGGCUUAAAUUGCAGUGGAAUGAUGUGGAAACAUGUCAGUGAGCAAUCACCGCUGUGAAGGUGCCGCAUGGUUGUCGUCAGCUCGUGCCGUGAGGUGUCGGCUUAAGUGCCAUAACGAGCGCAACCCUUAUCUUUAGUUACUAACAGGUUAUGCUGAGGACUCUAGAGAGACUGCCGUCGUAAGAUGUGAGGAAGGUGGGGAUGACGUCAAAUCAGCACGGCCCUUACGUCCGGGGCUACACACGUGUUACAAUGGGGGGUACAGAAGGCAGCUAGCGGGUGACCGUAUGCUAAUCCCAAAAGCCUCUCUCAGUUCGGAUCGAAGUCUGCAACCCGACUUCGUGAAGCUGGAUUCGCUAGUAAUCGCGCAUCAGCCACGGCGCGGUGAAUACGUUCCCGGGCCUUGUACACACCGCCCGUCAAGCCAUGGGAGCCGGGGGUACCUGAAGUACGUAACCGCAAGGAUCGUCCUAGGGUAAAACUGGUGACUG